AUUGAACGCUGGCGGCAGGCUUAACACAUGCAAGUAGAACGAGUGGCGGACGGGUGAGUAAUGUCUGGGAAACUGCCUGAUGGAGGGGGAUAACUACUGGAAACGGUAGCUAAUACCGCAUACCAUCGGAUGUUCCCAGAUGGGAUUAGCUAGUAGGUGGGGUAACGGCUCACCUAGGCGACGAUGCCUAGCUGGUCUGAGAGGAUGACCAGCCACACUGGAACGUAGACACGGUCCAGACGCCUACUGGAGGCAUCAGUGGGGAAUAUUGCACUAUGGGCGCAAGCCUGAUGCCGCCAUGCCGAGAGUGUGAAGAAGGCCUUCGGGUUGUAAAGUACUUUCAGCGGGGAGGCGUUACCCGCAGAAGAAGCACCGGCUAACUCCGUGCCAGCAGCCGCGGUAAUUC
rnacentral:rRNA from 1 species